rnacentral:rRNA from 1 species
AACGAACGCUGGCGGCAGGCUUAACACAUGCAAGUCGAACGCCCCGCAAGGGGAGUGGCAGACGGGUGAGUAACGCGUGGGAACGUGCCCUGCGCGUCGGAAUAGCCGCGGAAAACUGGGAGUAAUACCGAAUACGCCGUAUUGGGAAUGAUUUCUCGGCGAAGGAUCGGCCCGCGCUAGAUUAGCUAGUUGGCGGUGUAAUGGACCACCAAGGCUACGAUCUAGAGCUGGUCUGUGAGGAUGAUCAGCCACUCUGGGACUGAGACGCGGCACAGACUCCUACGGGAGGCAGCAAUGUCGAAUCUUGUACAAUGGGCGCAAGCAUGAUCCAGCCAGGCCCCUUGAGCUAUGAAGGCCUUAGAGAUGUAAAACUCUUUCGCCGGAGAAGCUCAUGACGGUAUCCAGAGAAGAAGCCCCGGCUAACUUCGUGCCAGCCGCCGCAGUAACAC